rnacentral:rRNA from 1 species
GACGAACGCUGGCGGCGUGCCUAAUACAUGCAAGUGGGACGCAAGGAAACACACUGUGCUUGCACACCGUGUUUUCUUGAGUCGCGAACGGGUGAGUAACGCGUAGGUAACCUGCCUAUUAGCGGGGGAUAACUAUUUGAAACGAUAGCUAAUACCGCAUAAUAUUAAUUAUUGCAUGAUAAUUGAUUGAAAGAUGCAAGCGCAUCACUAGUAGAUGGACCUGCGUUGUAUUAGCUAGUUGGUAAGGUAAGAGCUUACCAAGGCGACGAUACAUAGCCGACCUGAGAGGGUGAUCGGCCACACUGGGACUGAGACACGGCCCAGACUCCUACGGGAGGCAGCAGUAGGGAAUCGUAGGCAAUGGACGAAAGUCUGACCGAGCAACGCCGCGUGAGUGAAGAAGGUUUUCGGAUCGUAAAGCUCUGUUGUAAGUCAAGAACGUGUGUGAGAGUGGAAAGUUCACACAGUGACGGUAGAUUACCAGAAAGGGACGGCUAACUACGUG